CACCAAGAGAUCAAGUUAUGUAUAUUAAGGUAAAAAGGCAGUUAAAUACAAAUAGUUGAUUAUUGAUUUACUCAUUUUUUAUAGAAAGGUAAAAUUUAGAUAUAAAUAAAUAAUUUAAUGUAAAUCACUUAAAUAUUGAAUCUGCGACAGCUUUGAGGGAAACUGGGAUUAGAUACCCCAUUAUUCUUGGCCGUAAAUAAAUAAAGAUUUACCGGAGUACUAUGAAUCAAUUUAAAAAAUUUAAAACUCAAAGGGCUUGGCGGUGUUUUAGACCUCUCAGGGGAACCUGUCUCAUAAUCGACAAUCCACGUUAGACCUAACCUCUAUUUGCAAUUCAGUUUGUAUACCGUCGUCGUCAGGUAACUUUUAAAAAGUAAGAAGUUGGCAAAAAAAUUAGUUAAAUUUAGACGUCAGAUCAAGGUGCAGCCUAUGUAGAGGUGAGGAUGGGUUACAAUUAAAAUUUAUAAUUACGGAUAGAAUAAUGAAAUAUUUUUUCUAAUGAAGGAGGACUUGAAAGUAAAAUAAAUUUAUAUAGGCAGUUUGAAUAAGGCUCUGAAACGUGC
rnacentral:rRNA from 1 species